ACCCUUUUGGGAUUCUGAAAUGUCUUACUGAGCACUUUAUUCAAUCUAAAUUUAAAUAGAACUUUUCACCACUUCCCAAGAGAGAAACAACAAUGAAGGAGAUGAGAGCGAGAGGAACUGCACAGAGCCCAGUGACACCAGCCCAGGGUUAACACCACCCACAGGGGGCUGGGCUAGGACAGUCUGAUAGAGGCAAUUCCUCAGUUGUGUUUCCCUCUUGUCAGUGUCAAAAACAUGCUGUUCCAGGAAGCCUGCUGAGACAAGGAGAGUGAGAAACGUGCAGUAAAUACACCCAGAUGAUCCUGCAAUAAAAAAUAGUUCUUUCCAA
rnacentral:lncRNA from 1 species